GUUGGGUCUAUAUUUCAUACUCCUACUUGAAAGUCAAACGCUUGAUGUGACCCGGGCUAAACUUUAGUCCACAUAACCAGGGGGUGUAAGACUGGGCAUAGUACCCGCUACCCGCUACCCGAAUCCGAAAAACCCGGACCCGGAACCGAAUUACCCGAAUUCACAGUACCCGAAGUCUAGUUCGGAUAGUAAAUAUUAUUACCCGAAUUUAGUUUGGGUAAUUCGGGUAGCACCACCCGGUACCCGAACUACCCGAAAUAGUGUCUCUGUGUGUGUCACCUGGCGACUCGUGUAGUCAUGUGGACUAUGUGGGCCACGCGGCCAGCAGCCCAUCAAGGCAUCAGCUAUCAAUCCAGUAUUCUAGAUUUCCAAUGCCGCUUCCUUUCCUCCGUCGUGCUCUCCCCAGUCCCCUCCGCCUCCGGUCUCCAUAACCUAGCCGUCCCUCUCCUCGGUGCAGCGGUGCCCGGACGCUGGAGCGACCUCAAGUGCUCGACAGGCGUCACGGGACACGACGCUCACCGCUCGCUGUCGCUGGUGGACUACGGACGACUGGAACUGGAUUGCUGUGGAGAACUGGAUUGCUGACUGCUGUGGAGAAUUUGGACUUUGAAGCCUGAAGUCUAAACCAUCUGUGAAGUUCGAACUAUAUUUUCUUGUGAAUUUGUGAUGCAAUGCAAUGGCACUUGGCGGCUGUCACUGACAGGCAGCACCGAAGCAGGCUUAAUGCCUUGCAGCCUUGCACUUUUGUAUCAUGUUGUCAUCGAGUACUCAGUACAUUAGUAUUAGUAGGUAGUACCUGUCGGCUGUAUUGGUUCUUGAAUUCUUGCUCCUCUGCAUAAGUUUUAUUCUCUAUACUAGAUUAUGAUCUUACGAUGUUCUGUUAGUAGUAAUUCAUUAAUCUGCGUUUUGUUCAGGA